GUGCUCACUUCGGCAGCACGUAUGCUAACAUUCGACCAAUACAGACAUGACUCACAUGGCCUCUGCGCAAGGGUGACACACAAGCUCAUAAAGUGUUCCAUAUUUUG
ensembl:snRNA U6 U6 spliceosomal RNA